rnacentral:rRNA from 1 species
AUUGAACGCUGGCGGCAGGCCUAACACAUGCAAGUCGAGCGGAUGAAGGGAGCUUUCUCCUGGAUUCAGCGGCGGACGGGUGAGUAAUGCCUAGGAAUCUGCCUGGUAGUGGGGGAUAACGUCCGGAAACGGGCGCUAAUACCGCAUACGUCCUGAGGGAGAAAGUGGGGGAUCUUCGGACCUCACGCUAUCAGAUGAGCCUAGGUCGGAUUAGCUAGUUGGUUGGGUAAAGGCCUACCAAGGCGACGAUCCGUAACUGGUCUGAGAGGAUGAUCAGUCACACUGGAACUGAGACACGGUCCAGACUCCUACGGGAGGCAGCAGUGGGGAAUAUUGGACAAUGGGCGAAAGCCUGAUCCAGCAAUGCCGCGUGUGUGAAGAAGGUCUUCGGAUUGUAAAGCACUUUAAGUUGGGAGGAAGGGCAGUAAGAUAAUACCUUGCUGUUUUGACGUUACCAACAGAAUAAGCACCGGCUAACUUCGUG